rnacentral:lncRNA from 1 species
CUGCCAUUCGAAUCUGAACUUAUUAUCGGACUUCAGAAAGUAGAUCUAGAUCAGCUCUCUAAUAUUCUGAAUUGUUCAGCUCACUGUAUUGCUCUACCCUUGCUGAUGGUAAUCCGAUCUCAAGUAGGAUCAUCAUUUUUGUUUCAUAAGUCAGAUUGAAUGGCAAUUCUCCCAUUGGUAUGUGAGGAGUCGAUCAGUAUGCCUAUAAAAUUGGAUAUAAUUUUUUCACUUAGAGGUCUUUAGCUUCAUUCAGUCUUACUUUGAGUCCAUAAUGAAUUGUUCGAUUUGUUACCUCCACUCUCCAUUGGAUUGUGGAUGGCUGACUGAUAUGAGUUUGUGCGUAAUAUAAAAUUUUGCACAUAACUCUUUGAAGUUCUGAUUAUCAAAUUAUCGAUCAUUGUCAGUAAUAAUGAUGUAUGGUAGAUUA